rnacentral:rRNA from 1 species
CUGCGAAUGGCUCAUUAAAUCAGUUAUCGUUUAUUUGAUAGUACCUUACUACAUGGAUACCUGUGGUAAUUCUAGAGCUAAUACAUGCUAAAAACCCCGACUUCAGGAAGGGGUGUAUUUAUUAGAUAAAAAACCAACGCCCUUCGGGGCUCCUUGGUGAAUCAUAAUAACUUAACGAAUCGCAUGGCCUUGCGCCGGCGAUGGUUCAUUCAAAUUUCUGCCCUAUCAACUUUCGAUGGUAGGAUAGUGGCCUACCAUGGUGGCAACGGGUAACGGGGAAUUAGGGUUCGAUUCCGGAGAGGGAGCCUGAGAAACGGCUACCACAUCCAAGGAAGGCAGCAGGCGCGCAAAUUACCCAAUCCCGAUACGGGGAGGUAGUGACAAUAAAUACUGAUACGGGGCUCUUUUGGGUCUCGUAAUUGGAAUGAGAACAAUUUAAAUCCCUUAACGAGGAACAAUUGGAGGGCAAGUCUGGUGCCAGCAGCCGCGGUAAUUCCAGCUCCAAUAGCGUAUAUUAAAGUUGUUGCAGUUAAAAAGCUCGUAGUUGAACCUUGGGUCUGGCUGGCCGGUCCGCCUCACCGCGAGUACUGGUCCGGCUGGACCUUUCCUUCUGGGGAACCUCAUGGCCUUCACUGGCUGUGGGGGGAACCAGGACUUUUACUGUGAAAAAAUUAGAGUGUUCAAAGCAGGCCUUUGCUCGAAUACAUUAGCAUGGAAUAAUAGAAUAGGACGUGCGGUUCUAUUUUGUUGGUUUCUAGGACCGCCGUAAUGAUUAAUAGGGAUAGUCGGGGGCGUCAGUAUUCAGCUGUCAGAGGUGAAAUUCUUGGAUUUGCUGAAGACUAACUACUGCGAAAGCAUUCGCCAAGGAUGUUUUCAUUAAUCAGGGAACGAAAGUUAGGGGAUCGAAGACGAUCAGAUACCGUCGUAGUCUUAACCAUAAACUAUGCCGACUAGGGAUCGGACGGGAUUCUAUGAUGACCCGUUCGGCACCUUACGAGAAAUCAAAGUUUUUGGGUU